rnacentral:misc_RNA from 1 species
UGGUUCUGGCAUCGAUGAAGAACGCAGCGAAAUGCGAUAAGUAAUGUGAAUUGCAGAAUUCAGUGAAUCAUCAAAUCUUUGAACGCACAUUGCGCCCCUUGGUACUCCAGGGGGCAUGCCUGUUCGAGCGUCAUUUCACCACUCAAGCCUCGCUUGGUGUUGGGCGUCCGCGGUCCCCGCGCGCCCCAAUGUCCUCCGGCGGAGCCGUCCACUCUGAAGCGUUGCGACCGACGACUCGCUUCUAGGGGUGGGCCGGCCUCCUGCCGCCACACCUCUCUCCAGGUUGACCUCGGAUCAGGUAGGGAUACCCGCUGA